UACAGAGGGGGCAAGCGUUAUUCGGAAUUAUUGGGCGUAAAGGGCGCGUAGGCGGCUUGGCAAGUGGAAAGGUGAAAUCCCUCCGGCUCAACUGAGGAACUGCCCUCCAAACUGCUUUGCUUGAGGCCGGGAGAGGUAAGUGGAAUUCCCAGUGUAGCGGUGAAAUGCGUAGAUAUUGGGAGGAACACCAGUGGCGAAGGCGGCUUACUGGACCGGUUCUGACGCUGAGGCGCGAAAGCGUGGGGAGCGAACGAGGCA
rnacentral:rRNA from 1 species